CCGCCGCCGCCGCCGCCUCAAGCCCAGCGCCAGGCCCAAACCCGGAAACCGUCCACGGCGCGUCGGCCGCGCCGGAAGCGGAACCAGGGCUUACUUAUUUGGCCCAACAGCCAUGUCCUUCCUGUAUAUGUCACAUUGUGAAAUUUAGUCUGGGGGAAGCUACAAGACAAAGGACCCAAUUUUUUCAACAAGAAGAAAAAUACAAGAUGGAGGGGAAGCCCAAAGAUUAAAAGAGAUUUUAGAGGCAACUCAACUGCCUGCAAUGCAAGAUCGUCGUUUGGAUCUUGAUUCAAGUAAACUUCAAAAAGCAACAAAGAAGAACAUGUAGAGAAUAAUUUGGAAAUGUGAUCACUUGACUAUCUGAUAUUAAGAAAUUACUUUUGAUUUUGUGUGUGUGAGAAUGGAAUUCUGCAGGAGGAGGUGGAGGUCAAAAGCAGAAUGUUUCUAAGGUGUCGGGGGCAGGUCUUUCAGUGUUGGACCCUGAGUAUACUGGGCAGAGCUCCUGAUAGAAUAGUUCUGGAGUGAUGGACACUGCUGGCUGAUGGGUUGGAAGCAGCCCUGAAGAAUAAAUCGGCCUUAAAGAUGCUCAAUUGAGCUCUCUGUUGUUGUGAGAUGGGACUAUUCCCUCUGAUGGUGAAUAGUUGAGUAGCCUAUUGUUCAGAUAAAUGGAUUCUCAGGAAAUUCCUGAAGGAAACAGCACAGUUGUUUGCAACUUUAUCUUCUCAAAUAAAGUCCUAUUUGGACAGUGUGGCAUCAUAAGUAGUCAUCUUGAUGGAGACAGUGAGCUGAAGGCUGUGGCUGGCUUCAGUCCUCAAAGUGCUGGUUGUGUCUUGCAUAAAUGAUAUAAUGUGUAUCUCUCCACAACUUGUCCUUGUCAAUUAAUGAAUUAUUGCUACAUCAUAGCUCCUAGAUCACCCGCUGCAGGUCAUUCCACAGUACAAAGGCACUGUAGUUUAUUAAUGGAUAUUCACUUUGGUUCCACUUUUUCACAAUUGAAAAUAUGCUGCAAUAAAUAUCCUCUGCUGUGCUGUCUUGA